GCGCCCGUAGCUCAGCUGGAUAGAGCAACAGGCUACGAACCUGUAGGUCGGGUGUUCGAAUCACUUCGGGCGCGCCA
rnacentral:tRNA from 1 species